rnacentral:lncRNA from 1 species
UGAACGGUGACAUUUCCCUCCUUCUCUGCAGGAUGUGCUGUAAGGAUUUCCAGGAGCAGUUUUCAUGGCUGUACAUAUGUAACAACACCCCAACAUUCCUGGACUUUGGAGAUGAGCACGGCACAGCAGCGUGGUCUCUGACCAGCUACACCAACCUGUGGAGCCCGGGCCUUCCCUCCAGGAGGAGCCGCUAUUCCCGGGGAGAACUCCAGAGUUCUGGAGCAAACCUUUCUCCAGGCUCGAGAUGUGACCAGCUGCCUGACCCUGAGCCCAGGAACCUACGCCGUGGUUCCUGCUGCAGCAGAGGAUCAGGAAUUCCAAUUUCUCCUAAGGAUUUUCAUAAAGAAUCAGGACUACCAUGAGUAAGAUGAUGCACACUCCUUAAAGGCCCCAGAGCCAGAGAGUGCCAG